GGCACAGGUUUUAAGUAGGUUGGAUAAGUAGGGCCAACUGAUACUACUAAGCUAAUCUACUUCAAAUUUGUGCUC
rnacentral:pre_miRNA from 1 species